UUUACAGGAAUUUUAGCAGUAUCUUGUGAACAAGAUAAAGGAAACCAGAAAGCACUGAUUUGCGGGGAAGCUAAGGCAAGCCAGCUGGUAUCAGGAAUAGCUUUCGAAAGCAGCUGAUUAGGAUAGAUUCUGCAACACUCACUCACCCGUCAAAUAGUAACAAGGACCUUUUGCUAGUGAGCCACAGGCAGACUGUGUUGAAAAUCAGGCCUGCAUUGCAGAGAUAAGGGGAGAAAAUGCACAGGAGUGACAGGUUUCCUGCGCAGAAAAUGAGGACCCUGAUAAAGAAGACUUAAGAUGGGAAUAUUUGGAUGCAUGAGUCCAAAAAUGCUAGAGCCUCCAGAUUCUUCUGGGCUAUCUCAGUCAGCAGAAGCAGCCUCUUUCUCCGUGUCUGGAGGUGGAGAAAGCAGCCUGGAGACCAUUACAACCUUGACCUGAGAAAGAUGCCAUGGGAGGUGAGGCUUGUCUUCCUCAAGAUUCAUCAUCACCUUGCUUUAUUCCUCCAGACCAGUA
rnacentral:lncRNA from 1 species